rnacentral:rRNA from 1 species
AAAUAUAUUAGAGGUGAUGCCUGCCCAGUGGGGAUGGUAUAAAAAUUAUAGUGAAAUUUUAUUUUCCCUAAACGGAUGCGGUAACUCUGACUGUAAUAAAGUAGCAUAAUUAAUUGUCAUUUAAUUGGUGGAGAGAAUGAAUGGCUAAACGUAUGUCUCAUUGUCUUGGGGGGGAGUUUUUGAAAUUAGAAUAAUAGUGAAGAUCCUAUUAAUCACCGUUAGACGAAAAGACCCUAUAGAGCUUGACUAUACUCUGUAAAUAACUUUCUGGAUUGGUAGUUUAGUUGGGGCGACUAUCUUUUAUAAGUAACAAAGAUAAGCAUAAUAAUGAAAAAGUUUUAUUGUUUAAUUAAUAAAUUUAACAAUUACUAAAGUAGGCUAUAAUGACCCAUUAGAAUUAAAAUAAAUCUAAUGAUUAUUAAAUAAAAGCUACCUUAGGGAUAACAGGAUAAUUUUGUUUUAGAGAUCAUAUCAAAUACAAAGUUUGUCACCUCUAUGUUGAAUUAAGAUGACCGAAUAAUGCAGAAGUUAUUUAAGGUAGGUCUGUUCGACCUU